rnacentral:rRNA from 1 species
GUGGGGAAUAUUGGACAAUGGGCGAAAGCCUGAUCCAGCCAUGCCGCGUGUGUGAAGAAGGUCUUCGGAUUGUAAAGCACUUUAAGUUGGGAGGAAGGGUAGUAACCUAAUACGUUGCUACUUUGACGUUACCGACAGAAUAAGCACCGGCUAACUUCGUGUCAGCAGCCGCGGUAAUACGAAGGGUGCAAGCGUUAAUCGGAAUUACUGGGCGUAAAGCGCGCGUAGGUGGUUCAGUAAGUUGGAAGUGAAAUCCCCGGGCUCAACCUGGGAACUGCUUUCAAAACUGCUGAGCUAGAGUACGGUAGAGGGUGGUGGAAUUUCCUGUGUAGCGGUGAAAUGCGUAGAUAUAGGAAGGAACACCAGUGGCGAAGGCGACCACCUGGACUGAUACUGACACUGAGGUGCGAAAGCGUGGGGAGCAAACAGGAUUAGAUACCCGGGUAGUCC